UUUAUUUAUUAUCAUAAAAUCCUCCUAAAUCCCUCAAAUAAAAACGUAAUUUUGCAUCAAUUAGCCAGAUAAGCUAAUGUUAGCAAAUUAGCUGAAAGGAAUGAAAAGGACUUUUGCCACAUGGAAAAUUCAGAACUGGAAGAAGUGCAAGAGAAAUGAAGGUAAUACAUUUAUUUUUCUUCAUUUACAACUAAAGAGAUAGUUAUUAUCUAAGCUGUUCUUACAUUUAAGUGUUCUUGACCACAAAUGUUACUUAGCACUAUCAUGUUUUUCCAUUUAAAGCCAAAGUGAUGAUAUUGGUUGUUCAGUUCAGAUAAUGUUAUUUGUAGAGUUUACAGUACUAUACUUUUAUAACAGUAUUUAUCUUUGAAGGUGUUAAGAUUGCUUACUGUGCUUACUGUGAAAAGAUUGCUAUUGUGAUUGCAGUUGCAUAAGGUUUGCACUGAUCGGUUAGCCUAAUAAGCUAACCGGAUACUGCAUUAGUAAGAACAUGAGCACGAUAUGACUAAAGGCAGACUAAUACCAUUUGAUAUAUUCUUAUUCGAUUCAAAUCAAGUAUUAGUCUUUUCUGUAUUUGUCUCGUUGACUUUUUGUCAUCCAAUGUAGAUGUUUUCUAGUUGAGGAGCACAUGGGCAAUUGAAGAGCAUGUCAAAACGAAGAGCCAGACUUAGUCCUGAGGCUGAGGCUAUUCAUUUUAUUAUUUCUGGAAGUGACAAGCCUUGUAUAAAGUCAAAUGGAUCAAUGACUAUAAAGGACGUGGUGUAUUUGCCUCAGCACCAAUUGAAAAGGGAUCCUUUGUCCUCGAGUACCGUGGGGAGUUUAUAUCGCAAUAUGAAUGGGACAAGAGGCAGGGGAAGUAUACGGAAAAGCAAAAUGCUUUCUUGUUUGAUUUUGAAUGGAACAAUGGCUCAUGGUGCAUAGAUGCAUCCUG